CAGUGCGCGGUAAUACAGAGGUCUCAAGCGUUGUUCGGAUUCAUUGGGCGUAAAGGGUGCGUAGGUGACGGUGUAAGUCUAACGUGAAAUCUCGGGGCUCAACCUCGAAAUUGCGUCGGAUACUGCAUUGCUAGAGGAUUGUAGAGGAGAGUGGAAUUCAUGGUGUAGCAGUGAAAUGCGUAGAUAUCAUGAGGAAGACCAGUUGCGAAGGCGACUCUCUGGGCAAUUCCUGACACUGAGGCACGAAGGCUAGGGGAGCAAACGGGAUUAGAUACCCCAGUAGUCCCUGUCUCUUAUACAC
rnacentral:rRNA from 1 species